AACGAACGCUGGCGGCAGGCUUAACACAUGCAAGUCGAGCGCCCCGCAAGGGGAGCGGCAGACUGGUGAGUAACGCGUGGGAACGUACCUUUUGGUUCGGAACAACUCCGGGAAACUGGAGCUAAUACCGGAUAAGCCCUAACGGGGAAAGAUUUAUCGCCGAAAGAUCGGCCCGCGUCUGAUUAGCUAGUUGGUGAGGUAACGGCUCACCAAAGCGACGAUCAGUAGCUGGGCUGAGAGGAAGAUCAGCCACACUGGGACUGAGACACGGCCCAGACUCCUACGGGAGGCAGGAGUGGGGAAUAUUGGACAAUGGGCGCAGGCCUGAUGCAGCCAUGCCGCGUGAGUGAUGAAGGCCGUAGGGUUGUAAAGCUCUUUUGACCGGGAAGAUAAUGACUGUACCGGAAGAAUAAGCCCCGGCUAACUUCGUG
rnacentral:rRNA from 1 species